rnacentral:rRNA from 1 species
UGGGGGCMMCCUGAUCCAGCAAUGCCGCGUGUGUGAAGAAGGUUUUCGGAUUGUNAAGCACUUUCGGCGGGGACGAUGAUGACGGUACCCGCAGAAGAHGCCCCGGCUAACUUCGUGCCAGCAGCCGCGGUAAUACGAAGGGGGCUAGCGUUGCUCGGAAUGACUGGGCGUAAAGGGCGUGUAGGCGGUUUGUASNGUUAGAUGUGAAAUCCCCGGGCUUAACCUGGGAGCUGCAUUUAAUACGUGCAGACUAGAGUGUGAGASANGGUUGUGGAAUUCCCAGUGUAGAGGUGAAAUUCGUAGAUAUUGGGRAGAACACCGGUGGCGAAGGCGGCAACCUGGCUCAUUACUGACGCUGAMGCGCGAAAGCGUGGGGGAGCAAACAGGAGUUAGAUACCCUGGGUAGUCCACGCUGU